UACGGAGGAUGCGAGCGUUAUCCGGAUUUGUUGGGUUUAAAGGGUGCGUAGGCGGGCUUUUAAGUCAGCGGUAAAAAUUCGGGGCUCAACCCCGUCCGGCCGUUGAAACUGGGGGCCUUGAGUGGGCGAGAAGAAGGCGGAAUGCGUGGUGUAGCGGUGAAAUGCAUAGAUAUCACGCAGAACCCCGAUUGCGAAGGCAGCCUUCCGGCGCCCUACUGACGCUGAGGCACGAAAGUGCGGGGAUCGAACAGG
rnacentral:rRNA from 1 species